ACUCUCCCUCUCUCUAAUAGAACAUUCUAGAAUACUCUCUUUCUUUCGAAUUUUCUACUUGCUAAUGGAGUACUCUAAAAAAUUCUAGGAACAAGUGCUCUCUACUUGUUAAUAGAGCACUUUAGAAAGCUCUAGAAAUAAGUGCUUUAGAGAAUUCUAGAGUACUCAUAUAGGUAGGUUGGAGGUCUAUAAAUAGGUGUGAGGCCUCCGCACCAAGUGUGUAAGAGUGAGAGUGAAGAGUGAGAUAUAGUGAAGAUAGGGUGUGAGUGGUGGUGUGAGGUGAGGAAGUGUUGUGCGGUGUAGUGAAGUAGUGAAGUGAGUGUGUGAGGUUUGUAGUCUUUUGGGUGUAUGUGAAUGAGAGUUAUUUUGUGUGUAAUAAAGAGAGUUUUAUUAUUAGUCUGGUACGCCAAUAUUCUACAAUUUGGUAUCAGAGCCAGAUUGUAGGAAAUAUUCUACUAGUUAAGUCGGUGAUAUUCUGCCAGUCCGGGCAGCUAAAUACCGAUAUAAGCAGAGAUUCUGCUAGUGCACAGUCUGGGACUGUGAAGUUGGUUGGUCUGGGACCAGACUUACUUGGUUGACUGCUGGGCAAUCACCAAGUCACUAUGGCAGAUAUUGCUGGUACAACUAGCGGAAUUAAGAAGCUAAAUAAUCAUAAUUAUGGUUAUUGGCAAACCUGCAUCGAGUCCUACCUACAGGGGCAGGAUCUAUGGGAGGUUAUCGGUGGUGUUGAAACAACUCCACCACUGAAGGAGAAUGUAGAGGUGUUCAGAAAGUGGCGUAUCAAGGCAGGGAAGGCAAUGUUCGUUCUGAAGACGACAAUCGAAGAAGAGCUGCUAGAGCAUAUCAAAGAAGCAGAUACACCCAAGGCUGCAUGGGACACCCUCGCCUCGUUUUUUUCAAAGAAGAACGAUGCUCGACUUCAACUGCUGGAAAAUGAGCUAGUGACAAUAGCUCAGGGCAACAUGAUGAUUAGCUAGUACUUCAUGAAGGUAAAAUCUCUCUGUCGUGAAAUAUCCUAAUUAGAUCCAGAGUCACGAAUUAGUGAUCAGCGGAUGAACAGAAUUAUUAUUCACGGCCUAAAACCCGAAUAUAAUGGGUUCAUUACUGCUAUUUGAGGCUGACCCACUCAACCAACGUUGGUGGAGCUAGAAAAUUUACUGGCUAAUCAGGAGGCUCUAGCCAAAUAGAUGGCUGGAGUCUCACUAAAAACUGAAGAGGAGGCACUCUUCAGCAGUAGAAAAAAAGGACGAGCAACAGGAGGGCCAAGAAAUGUGAAGCCACUGAAGGAAUUAAGUGGGUCAAAACAAAGAUUGGGAGAAAGCCACCUUACGGGGGGAGUCCACAACCAGAAGGAGCAAAAUACCUGGCAGUUUAAAUGUGACAAACGGCGAAGCGGGGAGUGUUACAAUUGCGGCAAGAAAGGACACUUCGCCCGAGACUGUUGGCACAAGAAGAAACAAGUAAAAGGCAAUAUGGCAACGUCAGGUGACCAUUAAGCAGCAUAUAAAAGUGAAGAAGAGUGGGAUGCUCAAGCCUCCUUUGCCAUUAUAGAGUCAAAAGAAGACUGUCAUUCAAACAAAGAGGAGGCUCUCGAAGAACAAAGGUCAGAAGACAUUGCUGCAGAGGAGAUGACGCCAGGUGCUAAGAAGGCAAAGCUACCAAAGCAGGUACCAAUAUAUGGACUUACAACAAUAGAAAAUCCAAGAGAGGUGAAUUACAGUAUAGAUUGGAUCAUCGACUCUGGAUGUUCCAAUCAUAUGACCGAUGAUAAAGACAAGCUGCUAAGAACAAUAGAAUAUAAAGGAGGAAGAGUAGUGGUGACAGCUAACAACUCGAAGCUGUCAAUCACUCAUAUAGGAAAAACGAUCAUCACACCCAGAUUCAGCCCACAUCAAGUACAACUAUAGAACGUCUAUCAUGUCCCAGGUAUGAAGAAAAAUCUCCUAUCAGUAUCAUAACUGACUGCAUCAGGCAAUUAUGUAGUGUUUGGGCCCCAAGAUGUCAAGGUAUUUCGCAGUCCCAAAAUAUCAGGUAUACAAAUCAUGGAAAGAAAGAAAGUAGAGUCUAUAUACGUAAUGUUUGCAGAAUCAGCAUACGUAGAAAAGACUCGAAAAAGUGAGACUGCUGAUUUGUAGCAUGCAAGACUAGGACAUGUGGGCUAUCACAAACUGAAAAUCAUGAUGGAGCGCGGCAUGCUUAAGGGCUUACCUCAACUUGAAGUACGAGGAGACACAAUCUGCGCAGGAUGCCAGUUUGGUAAAACUCAUCAACUUUCCUACAUUGAAUCCAAAUAUAGAGCCAAGGUACCGCUGGAGCUCGUGCACUCUGAUGUUUUUGGACCAGUCAAGCAAACAUCAAUUAGCGGCAUGCGAUACAUGGUGACGUUUAUUGAUGACUACUCAAGGUACGUCUGGGUAUACUUUAUUAAAGAAAAAUCUGAAGUGCUGCAAAAAUUUAAAGAAUUUAAAGAAAAAGUUGAAGGCCAAACCGUUCAUAAUAUACGAUGCUUGCGCACGGAUAAUGGAGGUGAAUAUACCUCAUCAAAGUUCUCAGCUUAUCUGCGAGAGUGCAAAAUAAGGAGACAGCUUACGUGUCCGCGCACUCCGCAACAAAAUGGUAUAGCUGAGAGAAAGAAUAGAAAUCUAGCAGAAACUUGCCGAAGCAUGCUGCAUGCAAAGAAUGUGCAAGGCAGAUUUUGGGCAGAAUGUAUGAGAACAGCAGCACAUGUCAUCAAUCGGCUGCCGCAACCGAAGUUGGGAUUCAUCUCACCCUAUCAAGUACUGUGAAAAAUCAAACCCACAGUAAGUCAUUUUCGAGUCUUUGGAUAUGUGCGCUAUGUGUUCGUAUCGAACAAUCUUCGAAGUAAAUUCGACAAGAAGGCGAUACUGUGUAUCUUUGUCGGGUACGAUAGUGAAAGAAAAGGGUGGAGAUGCUGUGAUCCAACAACUGGUCGCUGCUACACAUCAAGAAAUGUCGUGUUCGAUGAAGCGUCGUCCUGGUGGUCACCACAAGAAGCUAUACUGCCAGACUCUGAAGAAAUAGAAAUCAAGCUACAAGAAAAGCUUGGAGAGCAAGUACAAGAAGAAAAAAAGGCGAUGUCAGAGCAAGAAGAAAGUAGUCAACCUUCUACGGAGUCAACUAGUGACGAGCAGCAACUCCAGAAGUCUCCAGAACCUUGGCGAACUGGCAUGCAUUAUCAAACCCCAGAAGAAGAUCGACCAAGCCAACUUGAAGAUACAGGUACGCAGUUACAAAGAUCUUCUAGGCAAAGAAAACCUAAUCCUAAGUAUGCAAAUGCUGCUCUCACCGAAGAAGAAGAGACUCCAAAAGAGCCAGCCUCCUACGAAGAAGCAGUCACAAGUAAGGAGUGGAAGAACGCGAUGGACGAAGAAAUUCAGGCUCUGAAGCAGAAUCAAACUUGGGAGCUGGUACCAAAGCCAAAGGAUGUGAAGCCUAUAUCAUGUCGAUGGGUAUAUAAAGUAAAGACCCAUCUAGAUGGGUCAAUAGAGAGGUACAAAGCUCUACUAGUUGCUCGAGGAUUCUCACACCAAUAUGGACUGGACUACGACGAGACAUUCAAUCCGGUGGCUAAGAUCACAAUCGUACGAGUGUUGAUAGCACUUGCCGCCAGCAAAUCAUGGAAGUUAUGGCAAAUGGACGUGAAGAAUGCAUUCCUACAUGGGGAGGUCGAUCGAGACAUACAUGGAGCAACCAAAAGGCUUCGAAAGUAAAACUCAUCCUCACUGCGUGUGUAAGUUAAGGAAAGCCCUCUACGGACUAAAACAGGCACCAAGAGCAUGGUAUGGAAAAAUAGGUGAGUUCCUAGUGCAAAGCAGAUAUCAAGUUACACCUGUAGAUUCAAGCUUAUUCGUCAAGAAGCAACAGGAGAAGAUAUCCAUCGUGCUGGUCUACGUAGAUGACCUAAUCAUCACUGGAGAUGAUGAAGAGAAGAUCAAUAGCAUAAGAGAGAAUCUAUCUAUACGCUUUCAAAUGAAGGAGCUCGGAGAACUGAAACACUUUCUUGGGCUCGAGGUGGAGCGCAUAAAGGAUGGCCUAUUCCUAUGUCAACAAAAGUACGCAAAGGAUAUUCUCCAAAGGUAUGGCCUGUUAAAUUGUAAGCCUAUCUCUACACCUAUGGAGCCAAAUAUCAGAUUAUGUGCAGAAGAAGGAAAGGAAUUGGCUGACUCAACUAUUUAUCGACAACUGGUCAGUAGCUUAAUAUAUCUAACUAUGACCCGACCAGACAUAGCUUAUGCAGUUGGAGUAGUUAGUCGAUACAUGCAACAUCCAAAGAAACCCCAUCUAGAAGCAGUUCGACGUAUUCUAAGGUAUAUAAAAGGGACUAUCGACUACGGCCUCCUGUAUAGAAAAGGAGAGACAUGUGAGCUCAGAGACUACUGUGAUGCUGACUAUGCUGGAGAUCAUGAUAUAAGACGAUCAACUACUGGAUAUGGAUUCAACCUUGGUUCAGCAGUAGUCUCUUGGUGCAGCAAAAGACAACCGACCGUGUCACUUUCUACAGCUGAAGCUGAGUACAGAUCAGCAGCAAUGGAGGCACGAGAGAGUACAUAGUUGAUGCAAUUGAUGAAUAACUUACAUCAACUUGCAGAUUAUGGAGUGGAUCUCUACUGCCACAACCAAUCAGCUAUAUGCCUUGCAGAGAAUCCAGUCUUCCAUGCAAGAACAAAACACAUAGAGAUACAUCAUCACUUCAUAAGAGAGAAGGUGCUGAAAGGAGAAAUAAAUAUGAAGUCAAUCAAAACAGAAGAGCAAGUAGCUGACAUAUUCACCAAAAGACUAAGCACCGCAUAGUUCGAAGAGUUCCGGAAGCAAUUAAGAAUGCUCAGCAGAGCAACAUUAAGAGAGAGUUAGAGUUGAGGGGGAGUAUUGAAAGAGGCAACUCUCCCUCUCUCUAAAAGAACAUUCUAGAAUACUCUCUUUCUUUCUAAUUUUCUACUUGCUAAUGGAGUACUCUAGAAAAUUCUAGGAACAAGUGCUCUCUACUUGUUAAUAGAGCACUUUAGAAAGCUCUAGAAAUAAGUGCUCUAGAGAAUUCUAGAGUACUCAUGUAGGUAGGUUGGAGGCCUAUAAAUAGGUGUGAGGCCUCCACACCAAGUGUGUAAGAGUGAGAGUGAAGAGUGAGAUAUAGUGAAGAUAGGGUGUGAGUGGUGGUGUGAGGUGAGGAAGUGUUGUGAGGUGUAGUGAAGUAGUGAAGACAGUGUGUGAGGUUUGUAGUCUUUUGGGUGUAUGUGAAUGAGAGUUAUUUUGUGUGUAAUAAAGGGAGUUUUAUUAUUAGUCUGGUACGCCAAUAUUCUACAUUAAUUUUAUAUUGUAAACAAGUGUAGAAAUUUAGGAUGAUUGUCGAAUUUGGAUGUAAAACUACAUGAAUAUGAGCAUGCUCUGCAG
rnacentral:lncRNA from 1 species